rnacentral:rRNA from 1 species
UACAGAGGGGGCAAGCGUUGUUCGGAAUUACUGGGCGUAAAGGGCGCGUAGGCGGCCUUCUAAGUCGAACGUGAAAUCCCCGGGCUCAACCCGGGAACUGCGUCCGAUACUGGAAGGCUUGAAUCCGGGAGAGGGAUGUGGAAUUCCAGGUGUAGCAGUGAAAUGCGUAGAUAUCGAGAAGAACGCUCGUGGCGAAAGCGAGAUCCUGGGCAGCCUCUGACGCUGAGGCACGAAGGCCAGGGGAGCAAACGGGG